GUUACAGGACCUGAAGGAAGAUCAGGAGCUGACCAACUAGACACAGUCGACUGAAGGACGGAGCACAGCCGUUCAGUUAUGAACCAAACAAAUCAAGGGAAAAUAUUGGUGAAUCUUUCGACAACUUUUUGCAAGGACUCAUGUCAUUCCCCGUCAAUAUCCCUGGUGUAAUUACACCAGCAGAUCUCUAUGAAUGGAUGAAGGCAAAGAAUACUGAUGAAUCAGCCAUUGUUGGCGUUGGCUUGCCUUGUUAUUCAUAGAUAUGUAAUUUUCAUAUAUUGUAGUUGUGUUUUGUAAUGUAAUAUAUAAAUAUCAAAUAAUAUAA